rnacentral:rRNA from 1 species
GACAGAGGGUGCAAACGUUGUUCGGAAUUACUGGGCGUAAAGCGCGUGUAGGCGGCUUUGCAAGUCGGGCGUGAAAUCCCACGGCUCAACCGUGGAAGUGCACUCGAAACUGCAGAGCUAGAGUCCUGGAGAGGAAGGUGGAAUGCUUGGUGUAGAGGUGAAAUUCGUAGAUAUCAAGUGGAACACCGGUGGCGAAGGCGGCCUUCUGGACGGUGACUGACGCUGAGACGCGAAAGCGUGGGGAGCAAACAGG